rnacentral:rRNA from 1 species
AGUCUUUUGGAAUUUUAUAAAAGAUGUUCUCUGCUCAGUGAUGUUAAACAGCCGCGGUAAUUUGACCGUGCAAAGGUAGCAUAAUCAUUUGCUUCAUAAUUGGGGGCUAGAAUGAAUGGGGUUAUAAGAUAUUUGUUUUAUUUUUAGGAUUUUAAGAAUUUGCUUUUUUGGUGAGGAAGCUAGGUUUUUUUAGUGGGACAAGAAGACCCUUUUGAGCUUUAUUAUUUUUUUUUAUUUGUUAGUAGAAUAUAAUUUGGUUGGGGCGACCUAGGAAGUUUUUAUCUUCCUUUAAUUAUUUUGAUCCGUAGUUUUCGAUUUUUAGAUUAAGUUACCAAAGGGAUAACAGCAUAAUUUUUUUUAUGAGUUCUUAUUAAAAGAAAAGAUUGUGACCUCGAUGUUGACUUAUGGUUUCCCUUAGGUGUAGUCGCUUUUAGGGUAGGUCUGUUCGACCUUUAAAAUCUU